rnacentral:lncRNA from 1 species
GAGUAGCUGGGAGUACAGAUGCACACCACCACACCCAGCCUAGAAUGAAGAAACCUGCAGUUGGGAAGCAUGAAUUUACCACCUAUUAAGAUCUGGCUGCUGUGUGGAGAAAGAGUGAAGAUACGGAAGUUGGAGGUUCUCGUAGCAAUGCAGAAUUGUGGCUUGCAUUGUAAGAGGAGCCUGUGAAUUCAGAGGCAAGUCUGCUGAGGACCGAAUGUUCCUGUCCAUAAAAACAGAAGUCUGGCCUGGGCUCCUCUCUUGGGUGAAUUUGCAAUGCCAGAUCCUCUCUAUCAGUUUGGUUUUGUUUCUUGUAUCUCUGGGAAGGCAGGCAGACAGCACGGUCACCUGUGAAUGCAGCUACAAUUGGCUUAGCUGCCUCACUGAUAAAUGUGCCCCCAGUAAGCUACAAAGGGAUUACCAGCGUUCUCAGCAGCUAAAGGAACUGGUGAAGAUUUCCCCAGCAAAAAGUAGAAGCUCAGUGUUUCAUAGAUGAAGACUGGGGAGAUUGCAAAAGACCCAUCCAGCAGUGGUUCUCAGACCUCAGUGUGCAUCAGAAUCACCUGGAAGGCUUGUGAAAACACGUAUUGCUGGGCCACACCCCCAGAAUUUCUGGAUCAGUAAAGCUGGGAUUCUUACUUUGAGUAGCCAACUUGCAGAAUACAAUAGAAUUUUGGGAGGAGCCCCUCGAUGCCUGGCUUUACUGUUGGAGAGACAGUACAGUAUACACCAGAUGACUUAUUUGUGAACCAUGGAAACGUUUGGAAAAGCCUACUUCAUGCUUUGAACAGAAGAGUUUUAUCAGUUUUAAAUGUUUCUUCAUUUCUAUACCUUCUUUUAUCUGAGGAGCUUAAGCCAUUUUGUAGAGGCAUUAAGUAUUGCCUCAGUCUUAAUAUGUGAGACAAGGUGUGAGGAAUAUAGAGAUUCAUAAAAUAAUCCCCAUCUUCAAGGAACUCACAGUCAGGAAGAACAGAGCCUGCAACACAAAUAAUUGCAAUAUAGUAGAAGUGCCAAUAGGAGCUCUAUGAAGGGCGUGAAACAGGAAAGGCUACAUAGAGGAGAUGGCAGACACUCUGUGGAUUGUGACCUGUUGGUGGGCCAUGAAAUCAAUUUGGGGGUUUGAGAGCAUCAUUCUUUUAAUAAAACAGAAGAGAAUCAUCUGCAAUAAGGAACCCAUGGAUGAAUACCAUCUGGUCCUGGUGAUUUACUGCACAGAGUCCCUCAAGUUGCUCCAUACCUUUCUCCUGAGAGACUGAAGAAUCUCUGUCAAGGCCGUUCUCUGCUUUGCCAUAAAAUGUGUCCUUGGAACAAGAAUUUCCCCAUUGUCUUCUUCAAUAAAUACUGAUUCAAA